CAGUCGAGCGAGCUUGCCUAGAUGAUUUUAGUGCUUGCACUAAAUGAAACUAGAUACAAGCGAGCGGCGGACGGGUGAGUAACACGUGGGUAACCUGCCCAAGAGACUGGGAUAACACCUGGAAACAGAUGCUAAUACCGGAUAACAACACUAGACGCAUGUCUAGAGUUUGAAAGAUGGUUCUGCUAUCACUCUUGGAUGGACCUGCGGUGCAUUAGCUAGUUGGUAAGGUAACGGCUUACCAAGGCAAUGAUGCAUAGCCGAGUUGAGAGACUGAUCGGCCACAUUGGGACUGAGACACGGCCCAAACUCCUACGGGAGGCAGCAGUAGGGAAUCUUCCACAAUGGACGAAAGUCUGAUGGAGCAACGCCGCGUGAGUGAAGAAAGGUUUCGGCUCGUAAAGCUCUGUUGGUAGUGAAGAAAGAUAGAGGUAGUAACUGGCCUUUAUUUGACGGUAAUUACUUAGAAAGUCACGGCUAACUACGUGCCAGCAGCCGCGGUAAUACGUAGGUGGCAAGCGUUGUCCGGAUUUAUUGGGCGUAAAGCGAGUGCAGGCGGUUCAAUAAGUCUGAUGUGAAAGCCUUCGGCUCAACCGGAGAAUUGCAUCAGAAACUGUUGAACUUGAGUGCAGAAGAGGAGAGUGGAACUCCAUGUGUAGCGGUGGAAUGCGUAGAUAUAUGGAAGAACACCAGUGGCGAAGGCGGCUCUCUGGUCUGCAACUGACGCUGAGGCUCGAAAGCAUGGGUAGCGAACAGGAUUAGAUACCCUGGUAGUC
rnacentral:rRNA from 1 species